rnacentral:rRNA from 1 species
UGUGACCUCAAAUCAGGUAGGACUACCCGCUGAACUUAAGCAUAUCAAUAAGCGGAGGAAAAGAAACUAACAAGGAUUCCCCUAGUAACUGCGAGUGAAGCGGGAAAAGCUCAAAUUUAAAAUCUGGCAGUCUUUGGCUGUCCGAGUUGUAAUCUAGAGAAGUGUUAUCCGCGCUGGACCGUGUACAAGUCUCCUGGAAUGGAGCGUCAUAGAGGGUGAGAAUCCCGUCUUUGACACGGACUACCAGGGCUUUGUGAUGCGCUCUCAAAGAGUCGAGUUGUUUGGGAAUGCAGCUCAAAAUGGGUGGUAAAUUCCAUCUAAAGCUAAAUAUUGGCGAGAGACCGAUAGCGAACAAGUACCGUGAGGGAAAGAUGAAAAGAACUUUGGAAAGAGAGUUAAACAGUACGUGAAAUUGCUGAAAGGGAAACGCUUGAAGUCAGUCGCGUUGUCCAGGGAUCAACCUUGCUUUUGCUUGGUGCACUUUCUGGUUGACGGGUCAGCAUCAAUUUUGAUCAUUGGAAAAAGAUUGAGGGAAUGUGGCAUCUUUGGAUGUGUUAUAGCCCUUAGUUGCAUACAAUGGUUGGGAUUGAGGAACUCAGCACGCCGCAAGGCCGGG